rnacentral:rRNA from 1 species
GACGAACGCUGGCGGCGUGCCUAAUACAUGCAAGUAGAACGCUGAAGGAGGAGCUUGCUUUUCUGGAUGAGUUGCGAACGGGUGAGUAACGCGUAGGUAACCUGCCUGGUAGCGGGGGAUAACUAUUGGAAACGAUAGCUAAUACCGCAUAACAGUAGAUGUUGCAUGACAUUUACUUAAAAGGUGCAAUUGCAUCACUACCAGAUGGACCUGCGUUGUAUUAGCUAGUUGGUGGGGUAACGGCUCACCAAGGCGACGAUACAUAGCCGACCUGAGAGGGUGAUCGGCCACACUGGGACUGAGACACGGCCCAGACUCCUACGGGAGGCAGCAGUAGGGAAUCUUCGGCAAUGGACGGAAGUCUGACCGAGCAACGCCGCGUGAGUGAAGAAGGUUUUCGGAUCGUAAAGCUCUGUUGUAAGAGAAGAACGAGUGUGAGAGUGGAAAGUUCACACUGUGACGGUAUCUUACCAGAAAGGGACGGCUAACUACGUG